AUGAAACUCUUAGCAUGGAAUUGUCGGGGACUUGGGAAUGCCCCGGCAAUUCGAGCUUUGCUGGAUGUCCAGCGAAGAUGCCUCCCCGAUGUGAUGUUCUUGUCGGAGACUCACCUCGACAGCUAUCCGGCAGAAGGAUUACGUAGAAGGCUGAAGAUGGACCAAAAUCUAGUGUGCCCUAGUAGUGGACGGAGAGGAGGAUUAGUUCUCUUCUGGAAUAACAAU
rnacentral:rRNA from 1 species